CGAUGCACAAGCAAACCAUCAUAAUUUAAAACAUGACAUCUCCUUUGUAGAGUUGGAAAUGAUUCAAGGUUGGGCAAGGUGAUGAGUUUCAACAGCUUUGAUGACGUCAACGACCAAUGAGAGAGUUGAAAAGGGAUGCUCCACAUCCUCAUUUACCAUCUCGUAUUCGAAGGUGCUUGUCACCAAAUCAAUGCCAUCCUUUGUCUCUAUGUGACUUGU